CCACGCAGACCGAUGCAAUCGCAACUACGGGUUGAAACCGAUGGUACGUCUGGUUGAGGGUCAAUAUCGAUCAGAUUAUCAAAUAAUAUACCAAAAUUGAUACAUAUGAUACAUAUGAAUGAUAUAUGUUUUGGAUAUAUUAUUUGUUAAAAUUAAUUCAUCAGGUGAUGAUGUGAUGAUAAUCAUUGAAAAAUGACAAAAAUCCCCUGAUUAAGUAUGAUAAAAAUAGUAAGUAAAAAAGGCAAAUUUUUUUUACUUACAAAAUAUUUACUUAUAGUAAUAAAUAAUUUCUUCUUUCAUAUAUAUAACUGAGACCCAUAAAAAAAAAAAAAAAAAAAAAAAAAAUAUAAAUAUUAUUAUUAUUUUUUGUUAUCAUUAUUGUUAUACUUAUUACCCUGCUUUUAUAACAAAAAAAAUAACAAAAAAAAAAAAAAAAUAAUAAAUAUAAAACAUACAACCAUAAUAUAUAUUUUUUUUUUCUCUUUUUCAUCUUCACUCACAUCUAAAAACGGCUAAUAACAAAAAAAAACCCCCCCCCAAAAAAA
rnacentral:misc_RNA from 1 species